rnacentral:rRNA from 1 species
CCUACGGGUGGCAGCAGUAGGGAAUAUUGGUCAAUGGGGGAAAGCCUGAAGCAGCAAAGCCGCGUGGAGGAUGAAGGUUCUCGGAGUGGAAAAUCUCUUUGUUAGAGAAGAAAAUGACGGUACCUAACGAAUAAGCACCGGCUAACGCCGUGACAGCAGCCGCGGUAACAGGGGGGGUGCAAGCGUUACUCGGAAUCACUGGGCGUAAUGGGCGCGUAGGGGGGAUAGCAAAUCAGAUGUGAAAUCCUAUGGCUUAACCAUAGAACUGCCUUUGAAACUGGUAUUCUAGAGUGUGGGAGAGGUAGGCGGAAUUCUUGGUGUAGCGGUAAAAUCCAUAGAGAUCGAGAAGAAUACUCAUUGCGAAGGCGGCCUGCUGGAACGUAACUGACGCUGAUGCACGAAAGCGUGGGGAGCGAACAGGAUUAGAUACCCCGGUAGUC